CAUUCUGGGACCGCCUCUUCCUUCCCUACACGCUGGUACCCUGGGCUUUCGACAAUUUGGCCGAAAAACCUCGAUUCGAAGCAAAUUCUCCUCCGGGUGCAAUUUUGGUUUUUCCGGCGAUUUCGCAGUUUCCGGCCGUCUCCGACCACCAAACUUGGACUGAAGGAGCGCCUUGAGCCGGCGAACAUUUCCCCUAAGGUCUCUUGCUCCGAUUUGCAUCGUGGAGGCCGAAUCGACGAAGAACAUCCUUGGGUCCGAAGCAAUUUUCUGGGCAAACUUCAUCAGCUUAAUCCGAGCUCUUAAAGGACGAGAUACUGACUCAUCGCUCGACGAGGAUCCUUACGCUUGGAUACCACGCUAGCCGUAUACUUCUGCAGAGUAGCUGGUUCGGCAUAGUAGGAUUCGGGGCAUAGCAUCUGCUGCUGUUGUUUUCAUUGUAG